rnacentral:lncRNA from 1 species
AAUGUUGACGCAAUCUAUAAAUAGUGGAACAAAAGGACCAACUUCCUCGGAGCUUUGCUGAAACUGCACAAAAAAAUCGAGCUGGGGGGUUCCCUGGUCCCCGAUGUUGGGGCGGAGAGCGCGGCGCCCAGGGAGGGGGCGGCGCAGACCGGCCUAGGGGACACCUGGUCGAGCGCAGCCGCCGCUCCGCUCGAGCCCUGCGCUCCAGUGCCCCCACUGGCUGGAGAGCUCGCCCAGACCAGGGGUCUUCCUCCGUCGCUGACAGAUUUUAACCGUUAGAAGAGUACCAGUUCUGGAAAACAACCAAAGUUUCUUUGAUUGAAUGCCCAUGUAAUGCAUUGGAAUAUGAUAGGCGAUUAAGGUUUAACAAUGUUAAAAUGAAGAUAUUACUAAAAUGACCCUCUAAAUAGCCCAACAAUUAUUAUUUUCUUUGUCCUGUGGAUUUGGCUUUGAAGGGUGUGCUGCUCUUAAUAAGUCUCUCUCUCGGGCAGAAACCUAUGUGUUCCUCUUCCAGAGAGCUAGUGAAGCCAAAAGCAUUCUCAUAAUGAUGGGCUACACCGACUGACAUUUACCAACUGUGUCAAAGCUACAGAAGCUAGGUAGACACUGCUGGAACUUUAACGGGAAUCAAACAAGUCUAUAAGAAGCACUGAGCUGUGCCACUACCCAAUCAGUGUUCUUCCAGAGCACACAAACGGAAGGGGGAGGAGCUUUCCAAUGAGAACUGUUGUGUGAUUAAUCAAAGAGGCUGACUAAAGCACACACCUAUAAUCCCAAUACUCAGAAAGACAGAGAAAGAAGGAUAUCAGCGCAAGGCCAACAAGGCUUCAAAGCAAGUACCAACCCAGUCUGGAUCAUGAGACCCCAUUUCAGAAACAAAUAAUAAAAGCUUGAUGAAGCUGCAAAAAUUACUCAUUUUAUCAAAUCCUUGUUCUUGAAUACUUAACUAUACACAAAGGCACUUGUGUGGCCAGUGGGUGCGGUCAGAAAGGAGUACAGGCUCACGUGACUCCGCUACAAGCUGAGACAGCUGCUGUUAUUAGGAAAACAAUGGAAGCCAGCAGUAUGUAGAUUUAGGUAGCUGACAAAUCCUGAAAAUGAAUAAAAUGAGCUGGGUACUUCCAGGAACACAAUACUUCUGGACCAUGAAAAGGGAAAAGGCUGGGUUUUUAUGUUAAAAUUUAAAUUUUUGCAAAAUGUACUUAUAAUCUUCCCAUUAAAGAUGCUGAUAAAUAGUAAAGUUAACAAAUGCGAGGGUUAUUGGGGAUUAUAUAAUGAAAUAUGUCAAUGUUUGGCGGUCUCGGUAAUAAUGUUAUAAAUCAUAGAGAGAAGACUUGUUUAAAAUAUAGUGUGGCUCAGUGGGAGAGCACUUGUCAAGACCCUGAGUUCAAUUCCCAAUACUGCAGAAAUAAAAAAUAAGUAUGAUC